rnacentral:lncRNA from 1 species
CUGGUGACUGUGUAGAAAGGCUGCAGUCAGAGCAUACAGCACCCAGCCGUGAGCUCUAAAGAAUUCCUGAAUGACCAGGCCAGUCUACAGACACGGUGUAAGUUAAUUAAAAAAUGAACGGAUUCUCAACUAAAGCCAUAGUAGGACCUAACAAAAACAACAAUAGCAACAGCAGCAGCAGCAACAACAAUAAAAAAACAGCAACAACAAUAAUAAUAACAGCAACAACAGCAACAACAAUAACAAUAACAGCAACAACAGCAAUAGCAACAGCAGCAACAACAGAAACAGCAACAGCAGCAACAGUAGCAACAACUAUAACAAUAGCAGCAACAACAACAGCAACUGCAACAACAAUAACAACAAAACAACAACAGCAACAACAACAGCAACAGCAGAAACAACAGGAACAACAGAAACUACAAAAAAGCAACAACAGCAACAGCGCAACAACAAUAGCAACUGCAACAAAAGAAACAACAAUAGCAACAGCAACAACAAUAGCAGCAGAAAAAACAACAACAAGAAAAGCAACAGCAGCAACAACAGGAACAACAACAGCAACAAUAGCAAAAGCAACCACAAUAACAGCACCAACAACAGCACCACCACCAGCAGCUAUAACAAUUGCAGCAACAACAACAAUAACAAUAAUAGCAACAAAAAACAACAGCAACAACAAUAACAGCAGCAGCAACAACAGCAACAACAAUAGUAGCAGCAGCAACAACAAGAGAAACAACAGAAGCAACAACAGGAAUAACAACAGCAACAAUAGCAAAAGCAACAACAAUAACAGCAACAACAACAGCAACGCAGCAACUAUAACAAUAGCAGCAGCAACAACAAUAACAUCAACAACAAUAACAGCAGCAACAAUGACAACAGCAAAACAGCAGGAACAAUAACAGCAACAGCAACAAUAACAACAGCAGCAGCAACAACAAUAACAUCAACAACAAUAACAGCAGCAACAAUGACAACAGCAACAGCAAAACAGCAGGAACAACAACAGCAACAGCAACAAUAACAACAGCAGCAGCAACAACAGGAAGUACAACAACAGCAACAAGAACAGCAGCAGCAGCAGCAACAGCAACAGCAAUAGCAACAACAACAGCAAAAACUAAAUCAAAAAUCACCAUCCCCUGUCUGACUUGCAAACGGCCCAUGUACUUCGGCUAGCUUCAAACUUCCAUAGAUCUGCCUUGCCUCUGCCUUGAGAGCUGGGCUCAAGGGCAUGUACCACCACACUGUCGUUUUUCCCACUCCUGUAGACAGAGGACUUUUAAUAAUGAAUCACAGUGCUGUUUGCUUCUGAUUUUGAAUUCAACCUCCAAAGCUUUCUCCAAAUCAUUGUGGAUGAAUGAUAUCAAUCCUCUGUUUCAGUAUCACUCUCAGUUAAUGGUACCAAUCACUUGCCCUUGCUGCUUGAACCCUGCUAUUGAGCUUUUGUGUUUGUGUUUCUUUCCUUUUUAAAAGAAUGUUUUCUUUAUUUUGGGGGGAUUGUAAUACCACUAUAUCAUUUUCCCCUCCCAUGUCCCUCUCCUUGUCCCCUUUCUUAUCUCUGUGCUCAAUUUUCAGUAAACAUUGUUAUAUACAUAUUCACGUAACAUUUUUGCCCG